UACGGGGGGGGCAAGCGUUGUUCGGAAUUAUUUGGGCGUAAAAGGGCGCGUAGGCGAUUCGAUAAGUCUCGUGUGAAAUCCCCAGGGCCUAACCCUGGAAUGGCAUGGGAUACUGUUGAAUUUGAGUUCCGGAGAGGAAGGCAGAAUUCCCGGUGUAGCGGUGAAAUGCGUAGAUAUCGGGAGGAAUACCAGUGGCGAAGGCGGCCUUCUGGACGGAUACGUGACGCUGAGGCGCGAAAGCCAGGGGAGCAA
rnacentral:rRNA from 1 species